CCUCGGGCUCCCUGGGACACUAACAGAGCAACUGCGCCCCGGGGAGAGUGCGCCGAGCUCCCUAAGGGCUGCAGCGCGCGCACGGCUGGACCCGGUAGCAGCU
rnacentral:pre_miRNA from 1 species